rnacentral:rRNA from 1 species
AACGAACGCUGGCGGCAGGCUUAACACAUGCAAGUCGAACGGGUGUAGCAAUACAUCAGUGGCAGACGGGUGAGUAACACGUGGGAACCUUCCUAGGGGUACGGAACAACUCAGGGAAACUUGAGCUAAUACCGUAUACGUCCGUGAGGAGAAAGAUUUAUCGCCCUUAGACGGGCCCGCGUCGGAUUAGGUAGUUGGUGGGGUAACGGCCUACCAAGCCUACGAUCCGUAGCUGAUCUGAGAGGAUGAUCAGCCACACUGGGACUGAGACACGGCCCAGACUCCUACGGGAGGCAGCAGUGGGGAAUCUUGGACAAUGGGCGCAAGCCUGAUCCAGCCAUGCCGCGUGAGUGAAGAAGGCCUUAGGGUUGUAAAGCUCUUUUACCAGGGACGAUAAUGACGGUACCUGGAGAAUAAGCCCCGGCAAACUUCGUGCCAGCCGCCGCGGUAAGAC